rnacentral:tRNA from 1 species
GCAGUCGUGGCCGGGUGGUCAAGGCGAUGGACUAGAUAAAUGGGGGUCUCCCCACACAGGUUCAAACCCUGUCGACUUCG